ACCCCACCCUGACUCUUUUAGUCAACUAUUCAGAGCCAUGGUCUAUAUUGGCUGUCAAAGUGUACCGCCUUGUCGGAAUACAUCCUCAUCCUUCUACUAUCCAGCACAGACCAGGAAUGCCCAUCCAUCCAUCGAUUUCCUACCGCUUACUCCCUUUGGGGUCUCGGGGGCGCUGGAGCCUAUCUCAGCUACAAUCGGGCGGAAGGCGGGGUACACCCUGGACAAGUCGCUACCUCAUCGCAGCAGACCAGGAAUGGCAAUUAUAAAUCAUGAAGCAUUUAAUAUAAUGUCAAAAAAAGCUUUUUAUUAUAUUCUACUUUAAUCUCGGAUUAUGGCAGACUAUAUGUUGUAUGGAAAAUUGGCAAUUGUUCUUUGAGUGCAACAAGAAAAACACAAUGUGUUUAAUGCCCUUUAAUUUAUAUUUUAACCUUCUAGAAUGUUUCUUUGAGUGCAGUAAGAAACAUAUGUUUAUUGUAUUGCCUGAUUUUCUGUUAAAAUAAACUUUUUUGUAGUUCCCUUUCUUUGGAAACGUAUCGAAAACAUAUCAAUAUACAGGUAUAUUUUGGUGCCGGUACCAAAGUAUUGGUGUCGGGACUAGCCUAGUAGGAACACAAGUAAUGUCAUUGAAUGAUUUGAUCACUUGUGAUUACACUGGUAUGUGUGUGGC